rnacentral:rRNA from 1 species
GCGGAGGAAAAGAAAAUAACAAUGAUUCCCUUAGUAACUGCGAGUGAAGAGGGACAAGCUCAAAUUUUAAAUCUGUUAGGUUUACCUAAUCGAGUUGUAAUUUGUAGAAGCGUUUUCUGCGUAAUUUGACCAGUCCAAGUCCUAUUGAAUGAGGCAUCAUGGAGGGUGAUAAUCCCGUUCGAUUGAUCAUUGCGUUUUACGAUACGCUUUCAAAGAGUCAWGUUGUUUGGGAAUGCAGCUCAAAAUGGGAGGUAAAUUUCUCCUAAGGCUAAAUAACGGCGAGAGACCGAUAGUGAACAAGUACCGUGAGGGAAAGAUGAAAAGAACUUUGAAAAGAGAGUUAAAUAGUACGUGAAAUUGUUGAAAGGGAAACGAUUGAAGUCAGUCGUACCGGCGGAUAAUCAACCUUUCGGCGUGAUUAUGUGGAGCGUGAGGAGUUAAUCACUUUCAUGCCUGCAUAUUCGUGUAUUUUGGGUGUACUUAUCUGUAUGGUAGGUUAACAUCAAUUUUGGUCGUUAUAAAAUGACUGGGGAAAUGUGGCUUUGAUUUCGUAUUGAAGUGUUAUAGUCUCUGGUAGAUAUAGUGACCGGGAUUGAGGAUUGCAACGGAUACCCUUUCGGGGCUACUCGUCUGAUCUCUGAUCGUUACUCUGGUGCUGAAAGCUUGCUUACGGUUAUCAAAGUUGAUGGUUAAUAAGUUAGAACGGGUUAAAUUCGUUAAGGAUGUUGACGUAAUGGCUUUAAACGACCCGUCUUGA